CUCUAUCGCGUCCUUUCCAUUUCCCUACUCAAUCAUCCUUUUCUUCCGCUGUUUGUCGUCAUUUCUACUUUCCACUUUCGGUCUUUCUCAUUUGCAUCCUCAUUCUUUGUACCCUAACAAAAACCUUGAAAAGCAGCUCUAAAGUGAUGACCCACAGCUAUCAGGCCUAGAAUCAGUUGCUGCACUUCAUUUACUUCACCCUUCCGUCGCUCCACUCUCUGUUUAAAAUCCCAAAAUUUGAAGAUGCUUUGAUGCAAACUUGAUUGACAUUCCAGUUGAAGUGGAGACCCCUGAUCGCCAUUAUUAUCAUCUUGCCCUUUUUACUACUAGAGAGGUUAGAGUUUCAGAAGAGCUAACUUGGUAUCAUUCCAGACUCCCAUCUCCACCGGACACAACAAAGAUACCCACGCAAAAUUGGUGUUGCUCGUUGUUGGUCGAAGUCGUCGAGGCCUCCAAGGUUACACCAUCAAUGCUCGAUCCCUUGGUUCUUUUGCUUCUAUAGCUUGGUUCGAGUCCUUCGUUUUCUGUGGAACUCGUUUGUGAGGAA